ensembl:lncRNA
GGGACAAAAAGCAGAUACAGUGAUUUUAUUUCUUUACACAUAAUCAUCGAUUAACAUACCCCAGACUCAUCAGGAGAGGCUGGGACACCUGGCUGCAGCAUAGUUGGAGCAGCCAGGAAGGUGGCAGCAGGCUGGAAGGAUGCAGCAGCCAGGGAAGAGGAAGCAGGUUGGAAGGAUGCAGCAGGCUGGAAGGAGGCAGCAGGCUGGAAGGAUGCAGCAGCCAGGGAAGAGGAAGCAGGCUGGAAGGAUGCAGCAGCCAGGGAAGAGGAAGCAGGCUGGAAGGAUGCAGCAGCCAGGGAAGAGGAAGCAGGUUGGAAGGAUGCAGCAGGCUGGAAGGAUGCAGCAGCCAGGGAAGAGGAAGCAGGUUGGAAGGAUGCAGCAGCC